rnacentral:rRNA from 1 species
AUUGAACGCUGGCGGCAGGCUUAACACAUGCAAGUCGAGCGGGGUGAUGGUGCUUGCACUAUCACUUAGCGGCGGACGGGUGAGUAAUGCUUAGAAAUCUGCCUAUUAGUGGGGGACAACAUCUCGAAAGGGAUGCUAAUACCGCAUACGUCCUACGGGAGAAAGCAGGGGAUCACUUGUGACCUGCGCUAAUAGAUGAGCCUAAGUCGGAUUAGCUAGUUGGUGGGGUAAAGGCCUACCAAGGCGACGAUCUGUAGCGGGUCUGAGAGGAUGAUCCGCCACACUGGGACUGAGACACGGCCCAGACUCCUACGGGAGGCAGCAGUGGGGAAUAUUGGACAAUGGGGGGAACCCUGAUCCAGCCAUGCCGCGUGUGGGAAGAAGGCCUUAUGGUUGUAAAGCACUUUAAGCGAGGAGGAGGCUCUUUUGGUUAAUACCCAAGAUGAGUGGACGUUACUCGCAGAAUAAGCACCGGCUAACUCUGUGCCAGCCGCCGCCGUAA